rnacentral:rRNA from 1 species
UACGUAGGGUGCGAGCGUUAAUCGGAUUUACUGGGCGUAAAGCGUGCGUAGGCGGUUUAUCGCAUCUUUGGUUAAAGACCCAAGCUCAACUUGGGGAACGCCAAAGAGAUGGGUAAACUAGAGAAUACCAGGGGUGGCUGGAACUGCCGGUGUAGGGGUGAAAUGCGUAGAUAUCGGGAGGAAUACCGGUGGCGAAGGCGCCCCUCUGGACGGUAACUGACGCUGAGGCGCGAAAGCGUGGGGAGCAAACAGG